UGGUUGAUUCCCGCUGAGGCUAUCCGCACUCAUUUUACCUUAUUUCUCUACUGUAAAAGAAAUAUUCUGUCCUGGUCAGCGAGAUUCUUUACCCCAUACUAAAAUCAUCUGCAGCCAUAUUUACCCUAUAUCUCUACUCUAUACCAACCACUACAAUUUUUAUUUCCAAUUUAAUAUUCUCCCUCUCUCGUCCCAUGGCGGGAGAUGGAGCCGUUGGCCACGUGCACGAAAGAGAAGAAGAUAGGGUAGGAGAGAGAGGACGCUGGAUAUGAGGUAAGAGAAGAGCAAAUUUACGGUAGGGAUGACUUUUGAGUUCGCGCGUGCAGGGCUUCAGUCUACUCUAAAUAUUUACGGUACCUUUUCGCGUUUGCGAGUGCGGCCAGCCUGAUGUUAUUUUCCUUUGUUGUGGCUGGCUGGAGUCUUGGUCUUUGUUGGAGAGAAAGAGAGACGGAAAAAAAAUGAACGCUGUCUCUGCUGUUCGCGGCCACGGUUUGUGAUCAGUCUUAGAUCGAGUAUUGUCUUAGUUGCAGAUCUUGGCUUCUUCCGGUGCAGAUCCUGCUUGUUCAGAGGUCUCAAGUCUGAAUAGGGUUGUCAGUUCGGUUUCCCCUAGCCUCGUUCUACUUAAGACAUGUAUGUUUGGUUCUGUAAAGAUACUCGUCUUCUGAAGGGGCGGCGCCAGGG
rnacentral:lncRNA from 1 species